AUUGAACGCUGGCGGCAGGCCUAACACAUGCAAGUCGAGCGAGAAAGCCCUUCGGGGUGAGUACAGCGGCGGACGGGUAGAGUAACGCGUAGGAAUCUACCCAGUGGUGGGGGACAACAGUCGGAAACGGCUGCUAAUACCGCAUACGCCCUACGGGGGAAAGCGGGGGAUCUUCGGACCUCGCGCCAUUGGAUGAGCCUGCGUAAGAUUAGCUAGUUGGUGGGUAAAGCCUACCAGGCGACGAUCUUUAGCUGGUCUGAGAGGAUGAUCAGCCACACUGGGACUGAGACACGGCCCAGAC
rnacentral:rRNA from 1 species